rnacentral:lncRNA from 1 species
GGUAUAAAUAUCCCAGGACUCAAUGGCAUAAAAGUAAAGCAUAUCAUAAUCUUGAAUAACAUAACACUGUUUACUUUUUCAUAAUUCACUCUCUAAGACAUGUCAACAAACACUUGUAAUACAUCAAUUUAUACAUGAGUGGGGAAUACAUGUUGGUAUGUUAUAAUGGUAUUAUUUCAUUCUCAUAGACAAUUUAUCAAAUACUUGUAAGGCAUCUACUUAUACAUGCUACUAUGUUACAAUGACCCU